rnacentral:tRNA from 1 species
CAUUAGAUGGCUGAAAGCAAGCACUGGUCUCUUAAACCAUAAAAUAGUAAAAUAGUUCCUACUUCUAAUGA